UGCAGAAUCCCGUGAACCAUCGAGUCUUUGAACGCAAGUUGCGCCCAAAGCCAUUAGGCCGAGGGCACGUCUGCCUGGGCGUCA
rnacentral:rRNA from 1 species